UACGUAGGGGGCGAGCGUUGUCCGGAAUUAUUGGGCGUAAAGAGCUCGUAGGCGGUGUGUCGCGUCGGUCGUGAAAACUUGGGGCUUAACCCUGAGCUUGCGGUCGAUACGGGCAUCACUGGAGUACGGUAGGGGCAGAGGGAAUUUCCGGUGGAGCGGUGAAAUGCGUAGAGAUCGGAAAGAACACCAAUGGCGAAAGCACUCUGCUGGGCCGACACUGACACUGAGAGACGAAAGCUAGGGGAGCAAAUGGG
rnacentral:rRNA from 1 species